rnacentral:rRNA from 1 species
CCUACGGGUGGCAGCAGUCGAGAAUCAUUCACAAUGGGGGAAACCCUGAUGGUGCGACGCCGCGUGGGGGAAUGAAGGUCUUCGGAUUGUAAACCCCUGUUAUGUGGGAGCAAAUUAAAAAGAUAGUACCACAAGAGGAAGAGACGGCUAACUCUGUGCCAGCAGCCGCGGUAAUACAGAGGUCUAAAGCGUUGUUCGGAAUCACGGGGCGUAAAGGGUGCGGAGGCUGUUGCGUAAGUCGUGUGUGAAAGGCGAGGGCUCAACCCGCGGACUGCACAUGAUACUGCGAGACUAGAGUAAUGGAGCGGGAACCGGAAUUCUCGGUGUAGCAGGGAAAUGCGUAGAUAUCGAGAUGAACACUCGUGGCGAAGGCAGGUUCCUGGACAUUAACUGACGCUGAGGCACGAAGGCCAGGGGAGCGAAAGGGAUUAGAUACCCUUGUAGUC